CCGUGCUAGGUGGGGAGGUAGCGGUUCCCUGUAUUCGAAAUCCGCUUUACGCGAGACUGAAUUCCUUUGCUAAGGGUGCGUUUUUGUGAAGUCUGCCCAAAGCACGUAGUGUUUGAAGAUUUCGGUCCUAUGCAAUAUGAACCCACGAAUCAUGUCAGGUCCUGACGGAAGCAGCAUUAAGUGGAUCAUCGUAUGUGCCGUAGGGUUGCUGAGGUUUAGCUGUCGACUUUGGUUACGUUUAUGAUACGCAUUCGAAGCGAAGGUGCACGG
rnacentral:SRP_RNA from 1 species